GACGAACGCUGGCGGCGUGCUUAACACAUGCAAGUCGAACGGAAAGGCCCUGCUUGCAGGGUACUCGAGUUGCGAACGGGUGAGUAACACGUGGGUGAUCUGCCCUGCACUUCGGGAUAAGCCUGGGAAACUGGGUCUAAUACCGGAUAGGAGCCAUUUUUAGUGUGAUGGUUGGAAAGUUUUUUCGGUGUAGGAUGAGCUCGCGGCCUAUCAGCUUGUUGGUGGGGUAAUGGCCUACCAAGGCGGCGACGGGUAGCCGGCCUGAGAGGGUGGACGGCCACAUUGGGACUGAGAUACGGCCCAGACUCCUACGGGAGGCAGCGGUGGGGAAUAUUGCACAAUGGGCGCAAGCCUGAUGCAGCGACGCCGCGUGGGGGAUGACGGCCUUCGGGUUGUAAACUCCUUUCGCUAGGGACGAAGCUUUUUGUGACGGUACCUAGAUAAGAAGCACCGGCUAACUACGUG
rnacentral:rRNA from 1 species